GGUCCGGUAGCUCAGCUGAAUAGAGCAACAGCCUUCUAAGCUGUGGGUCACAGGUUUGAAUCCUGUCCGGAUCA
rnacentral:tRNA from 3 species